AUUGAACGCUGGCGGCAGGCCUAACACAUGCAAGUCGAACGAGUGGCGGACGGGUGAGUAAUGGCUGGGAAACUGCACGAUGGAGGGGGAUAACGACUGGAAACGGUAGCUAAUACCGCAUAGCGUCGGAUGUGCCCAGAUGGGAUUAGCUAGUAGGUGGGGUAAUGGCUCACCUAGGCGACGAGCCCUAGCUGGUAUGAGAGGAUGACCGGCCACACUGGAACUGAGACACGGUCCAGACUCCUACGGGAGUCAGCAGUGGGGAAUAUUGCACAAUGGGCGCAAGCCUGAUGCAGCCAGGCCGCGUGUGUGAAGAAGGCCUUCGGGUUGUAAAGCACUUUCAGCGGGGAGGCGUUACCCGCAGAAGAAGCACCGGCUAACUCCGUGCCAGCAGCCGCGGUAAUAC
rnacentral:rRNA from 1 species